rnacentral:rRNA from 1 species
UACGUAGGGGGCGAGCGUUGUCCGGAUUUAUUGGGCGUAAAGAGCGUGUAGGCGGCCCGGUAAGUCCGCUGUGAAAGUCGGGGGCUCAACCCUCGAAUGCCGGCGGAUACUGUCGGGCUAGAGUCCGGAAGAGGCGAGUGGAAUUCCUGGUGUAGCGGUGAAAUGCGCAGAUAUCAGGAGGAACACCAACGGCGAAGGCAGCUCGCUGGGACGGUACUGACGCUGAGACGCGAAAGCGUGGGGAGCAAACAGG